GAGACGGGUCCCCCUUGUGGUCGGUGUGCAGGUGGGGCAUGGCUGUCGUCAGCUCGUGUCGUGAGAUGUUGGGUAAGUCCCGCAACGAGCGCAACCCUUGUCCUGUGUUGGCAGCAUGCCCUUCGGGGUGAUGGGGACUCACGGGAGACUGCCGGGGUCAACUCGGAGGAAGGUGGGGACGACGUCAAGUCGUCAUGCCCCUUAUGUCUUGGGCUGCACACGUGCUACAAUGGCCGGUACAAUGAGCUGCGAUACCGUGAGGUGGAGCGAAUCUCAAAAAGCCGGUCUCAGUUCGGAUUGGGGUCUGCAACUCGACCCCAUGAAGUCGGAGUCUCUAGUAAUCGCAGAUCAGCA
rnacentral:rRNA from 1 species